rnacentral:rRNA from 1 species
UGCGCAGGCGGCCGUGUGUGUGAGGCGUGAAAGCCCGGAGCUCAACUCCGGAAUGGCACCUCAAACUACACGGCUAGAGCAUUGGAGAGGGUAGCAGAAUUCACGGUGUAGCAGUGAAAUGCGUAGAUAUCGUGAGGAAUACCAGAGGCGAAGGCGGCUACCUGGACAAUUGCUGAUGCUCAGGCACGAAAGCGUGGGGAGCAAAAGGGAUUAGAUACCCCUGUAGUCCACGCCCUAAACGGUGCGCACUAGGUCUUGGAGGAUUCGACCCCUUCAGGGCCCAAGCUAACGCGUUAAGUGCGCCGCCUGAGGACUACGGCCGCAAGGCUAAA